rnacentral:rRNA from 1 species
AUUGAACGCUGGCGGCGUGCCUAACACAUGCAAGUCGAGCGGAGCGGCGGACGGGUGAGUAAGGCCUAGGAAUCUGCCUGGUAGUGGGGGAUAACGUCAGGCAACGGGCGCUAAUACCGCAUACUAUCAGAUGAGCCUAGGUCGGAUUAGCGAGUUGGUUGGGUAAAGGCUUACAAAGGCGACGAUCCGGAACUGGUCUGAGAGGAUGAUCAGUCACACUGGAACUGAGACACGGUCCAGACUCCUACGGGAGGCAGCAGUGGGGAAUAUUGGACAAUGGGCGAAAGCCUGAUCCAGCCAUGCCGCGUGUGUGAAGAAGGUCUUCGGAUUGUAAAGCACUGUAAGUUGGGAGGCGUUACCAACAGAAUAAGCACCGGCUAACUUCGUGCCAGCAGCCGCGGUAAUUC